ACGGAGGGUGCAAGCGUUAAUCGGAAUUACUGGGCGUAAAGCGCGCGUAGGCGGACUAUUAAGUCAGAGGUGAAACCCGGGGCUCAACCCCGGAACUGCCUUUGAUACUGGUAGUCUUGAGUUCGAGAGAGGUAAGUGGAAUUCCGAGUGUAGAGGUGAAAUUCGUAGAUAUUCGGAGGAACACCAGUGGCGAAGGCGGCUUACUGGCUCGAUACUGACGCUGAGGUGCGAAAGUGUGGGGGAGCAAAACGGAUUAGAUACCCCCGUAGUCC
rnacentral:rRNA from 1 species